UAUUCAUGGGAAUAUAAACAUAAGCACGGAUUUCUUAACGCAAGUGAUCAGGUUGUGAAACCCCAUUGUGUCAAUCAAGUAAAAAGCCACGAUAUGUACUUGUAAGCAAUAAGACACCUAUAAUUAUAAAGAAAGGGUAACAUCGUUCUAAUUUUAAUAGCCCCGCGUUUGAAUAUUUGACGACGAUUUACGGGGGAAGUAGUGUGACAAGCACUACGCUCCGAAGCCGCCUAUUACUACCCCAGGGUAAACCUCAACUACUCAUUUUUAACGAGGCUGAGUCGACCUCGUGGAGAAAAAAACGCUAAAGUUGUUUUGGCAGACCCGGGAAUCGAACCCGGCAGCUCCGUGUUUGUAAGAUAG